rfam:Pterocles gutturalis contig91664, whole genome shotgun sequence.
UGGGGCAUGAACCUGGCAUACAAUGUAGAUUUCUGUGUUUUUUAAGCAACAGCUACAUUGUCUGCUGGGUUUCCAGCUGCCUGG